rnacentral:rRNA from 1 species
GUCUUUCUGAAUUUAUAUAGAAAGUCUAACCUGCCCACUGAUUUUUAAAUGGCCGCAGUACACUGACUGUGCAAAGGUAGCAUAAUAAUUAGUCUUUUAAUUGAAGGCUGGAAUGAAUGGUUGGACGAAAUAUUGACUGUUUCAUUAAAAAUUAUAAUAGAAUUUUAUUUUUUAGUAAAAAAGCUAAAAUAGAAUUAAAAGACGAGAAGACCCUAUAAAGCUUUAUAUUAAUCUGUAAAAUAAUAGAAAAGAUUAUCUUAAGUAUUUUAUAGAGUGGUAUUUUAUUGGGGUGAUAUUAAAAUUUGAAAAACUUUUAAUUUGGUAGACCAUUGAUUUAUGAAAAGAUGAUCCACAUGAGUGAUUAGAAAUUUAAGUUACUUUAGGGAUAACAGCGUAAUUUUUUUGGAGAGUUCUUAUCGAUAAAAAAGAUUGCGACCUCGAUGUUGGAUUAAGGUAUAUUUUUGGGUGUAGCCGCUUGAUAAAUAAGUCUGUUCGACUUUUAAAUCCUU